rnacentral:rRNA from 1 species
UAAAUUUUAAAAUUAUAAUACUAAAAUAGUAAAUAAUUAUUUAUUAAAACUUAAAUAAUUUGGCGGUAUUUUAGUUCAUUUAGAGGAAUCUGUUUAAUAAUUGAUAUUCCACGAAUAAAUUUACUUAAUUUUUAAUUUUGUAUAUCGUUGUUAUAAAAAUAUUUUUUAAUAAAAUUAAUAUUUAAAAAUUAUUAUAAAAACUUAAAUCAGAUCAAGAUGCAGAUUAUAAUUAAGAAUAUAAUGGAUUACAAUAAAAUUAUUUAAAUGAAUAUUAAUUUGUAAUAUUUAAUUGAAAGUGGAUUUAAAUGUAAUUUUAUUUAAUUUAAUAAAAUGAUUAAAAAUUAAAAUAUGU